rnacentral:piRNA from 1 species
UCCAAGGAUGCAUAUUCUCAGUCUUUG